rnacentral:rRNA from 1 species
AACGUAGGACACGAGCGUUAUCCGGAGUUACUGGGCGUAAAGGGCGGGUAGGUGGUGCGAUAAGACUGGUGUGAAAGCCUUCGGCUUAACCGAGGGAGGACACUGGUGACUGUCGGACUUGAGGCAGAUAGAGGGGUGUAGGAAUUCCGGGUGUAGUGGUGAAAUGCGUAGAGAUCUGGAGGAAUACCAGAGGCGAAGGCGGCCUCCUGGUACACUCCUGACACUCAGACGCGAAAGCUAGGGGAGCGAACGGG